UGUUGUUGCCAAGGUAAUCCUGCUGGGUAUGAACCCGCAGGUUCAGACAUUUGGUGUAUGUGCUUGGCUCAGGAGCCAAUGGGGCGAACCUACCAUCUGUGGGAUUUUGACUGAAUGCCUCUAAGUCAGAAUCCCGCCCAGGCGGAACCAUAGGGCAGCGCUGCGGGGCCUCGGUUGGCCUCAGAGCCUCUGUUGGCCUCGGAUAGCCGGUCUCUCAAUGGCCUGGGAUAGCCGGUCUCCCGCCCUCCCGGCCGGCGGGCAGUUCAGCCCCGCAAGCGCACAGGGACCCGCACAGGUUUCCCAGGAGAGUCCCUCCUCCUGGGAAACCGGGUGCAGCAGGAAAGGCAGCAGCCCCCUCGCCCGUCACGCAACGCACAUUCGUGGGGAACCUGACAUUAAACCAUUCGUAGAUGACCUGCUUCUGGAUCGGGAUUUCGUACUGAGCAGAGCAGCUCCCUCGCUGUGAUCUACUGAAAGUCAGCCCUCCACACAAGGGUUU
rnacentral:ncRNA from 1 species